UACGGGGGGGGUAAGCGUUGUUCGGAAUUACUGGGCGUAAAGGGCUCGUAGGCGGCCAACUAAGUCAGACGUGAAAUCCCUCGGCUCAACUGGGGAACUGCGUCUGAUACUGGAUGGCUUGAGUGUGGGAGAGGGAUGCGGAAUUCCAGGUGUAGCGGUGAAAUGCGUAGAUAUCUGGAGGAACACCGGUGGCGAAGGCGGCAUCCUGGACCACGACUGACGCUGAGGAGCGAAAGCCAGGGGAGCAAACGGG
rnacentral:rRNA from 1 species